rnacentral:lncRNA from 1 species
GGACUGCGAACGCUAUAGCAGAUUUACUUGAGUCUCCACUGCCUCAAUAGCUACCAUCGAUCAAAAGCAUGGAUCUGUACACAAACAAAAUGUACAGAAGUGUAGUAUCAGCACAACUGACCCCAUGUGCUGGUAAGUGUCAAGAUAUCGGGGCGAAGUAGUGACAAGGCUAGGACCAAACACUCACAUAAACCUGUGCAGUUUAUAGCAUAUAUAUAAUAGGAAGCAAUUAAUAAUAAUGACAACAAUGAUCAGCCAAUGAUGUAAAUAGCAGGCAACAAGAAUACCAAAAUUUCUUCUCAACAAAUAAUAAAUACAAGUACAAUCAGUUAAUCAAGUCCUUCAAAUAUAAAUCUUUCGAGUAAACGUUGGCUUGUGACGUCUCAUUUCAACAACAACAACAACAACAACAACAACAACCCAGUAUAAUUCCACUUAAUGGGGUCUGGGGAGGGUACUGUGUACGCAGACCUUACCCCUACCCUUGGGUAGAGAGGCUGUUUCCAAAUAGACCCCCGGCAUCCUUCCAUCANNNNNNNNNNNNNNNNNNNNNNNNNNNNNNNNNNNNNNNNNNNNNNNNNNNNNNNNNNNNNNNNNNNNNNNNUUCCACCUUGCUCUUGGAGAGACUCGAACUCACAACCUCUCGGUUGGAAGUGGGGGUUGCUUACCAUCAGAGCAACCCCUCUUGUCUUGACGUCUCAUUUCAUAAUCAUAAUAAUAUAGGUCUUGUCCCACUUUCAUAUUUUUACGGCAUCUCGUGCCCAUAUUUCUAUUACAACCGCACAGACAACUCACGUGCAAUUAAAUAAAACUGUAAUAUUUUCCCCGGUACCUUAUGCCAACAUAUUUCUAUUUCACUUUGCACAAUAAUAUUCUCAUGUUACCCAGUUCACAGGGUCCAUAACCCAAUACAAUUAAGAAGUUCAAAGAGCCUCAUUUACUUAACAUAAAGUAGAGUGCAACUUUCAAACCAAUUAGGAAAUCAACAAGAAGAGAUGAAGUUAUUUUUAGAAAUUAUUUGAUAAAGAAAAUACCUUUUUCAAUUAAAGUAAAAUAUCGAAUUAAUUAUUACCUUUAAUACGAGAAAUAAAUAAUUGAAACAUAUUAGAAAUUCCUUUUUAUGUAAAGUACAACCUCGGCGGUUUAAGGAAAAUAAACCUAAUACCACGAUCCCAUUUUCUGUAUCUCGUGGUAGGCGUACCACCCGCUCACAUCUCUUUAUAUCUUGUGGUAGGCAUACCACCCGCUCCCAUUUCAGUAUAUCUCGUGGUAGGCGUACCACCCGAUCCCAUUUCAUAAUAUAUAAGUGUUCGGCGUGCCACAUGAUCCCAUUUCAUAAUUCAUAAGUGGUCGGCGUGCCAUACGAUCCCAUUUCAUAAUAUAUAAGUGGACAGUGUGCCACACGAUCCCAUUUCAUAAUUCAUAAGUGGUCGGCGUGCCACACGAUCCCAUUUCAUAAUAUAUAAGUGGACGGCGUGCCACACAAUCCCAUUUCAUAAUUCAUAAGUGGUCGGCGUGCCAUAGGAUCUCAUUUCAUAAUAUAUAUAAGUGGACAGCGUGUCAUACGAUCCCAUUUCACAAUUCAUAAGUGGUCGGUGUGCCACACGAUCCCAUUUCAUAAUAUCUUGUGGUAGGCGUACCACCCGCUCCCAUUUUAUUUUGUUGCUAACAUUAAUCACAAACGAAUCUGGGAAAGGAAAUAAUAAUAUCAACAAACAUCCCGGCAAGGGAACAAUAAUAUCAAAACAAACAUCCCGGCAAGGGAACAAUAAUAAUAAUAAUAAUAACAUAUGAAGCGCAACAAACUACAACAAAAUCAUAAUAAUUAUAAUACAAGACUCACACAAAUAAUAAUUGGACAUCCCGGCAAGGGAACAAUAAUAUCAAAACAAACAUCCCGGCAAGGGAACAAUAAUAUCAAAACAAGCAUCCCGGCAAGGGAACAAUAAUAUCAAAACAAACAUCCCGGCAGGGGAUCAAAACAAACAUUCCGGUAAGGGAACAAUAAUAUCAAAACAAACAUCCCAUCAAUGGAACAAUAAUAAUAAUAAUAAUAAUAAUAAUAAUAAUAAUAAUAAUAAUAAUAAUAAUAAUAGUAAUAAUAAUAAUAAUAAUGAUAAUAAUAACACACGAAGCGCAACAAACUACAACGAAGUCAUAACAAUUACAAUACAAGACUCACACAAAUAAUUCUUUCAUAGAAUCAAAUAAGGAUGUGAGAUUAUCCAUUUAAGACUCACGGUAAUGCUCGACCCCCAACGUAUAGAUACUCGCCACCAUGCCUAUACGUCGGACUCCGCACAUAGCAAUUAGCAAAUAGACUCAACUCUUAUUCCCUCAAUCUAGGAUAGAUCAAACACUUACAUCGACACUUGUCGUCAUGCCUAUACGUCGGACUCCACACAUAACAAAUAGCAAAUAUACUCAACUCAUAUUCUCUCGAGCUAGGAUAGAUCAAACACUUACCUCGUUUUGCAGCCAAUUCCAAAUUCCAACAAGUCUUUGCCUCGCGAAUUCGUCGGAAGCUUCAAAUUGAGUAUCUUCUGUAAAGGUAAAAAGAUGCAUCGCUAUACUUCUUUGUUGGAAAGUUGGCAACAGCAAGAGGCUCCAGGCUAUGUAAACCACGUUCCACAAUGCUAAGAUCAGAUCUGAAGUGGGUGUUUUGAUUUCUCAAAGUGUUCAACUGUUACACGAGCAUAACCGAAAUUGUGUCUGCGACAGGAACUCGAAUGGACCUCACCCGGACAGAACUUCUGGGCGAUUUUUGAACGUUUUAAGUUGGUUUUCGGACUGAGGAAGGUCGUUUCCUGGAGAAGAUGAUGGGGUGUUGGUGGCUUGGUGAAGUAGCAGCAACUUCUCGUCAAUAGCGGACGAGAAGGAAGCGAGAAGGGCUGUUGCUGGAGGUUGACGUCUGGUUCGAGGGUGUUCGUGAGGUGAAGAAGGAGAACGUGAAGCAGCAGCUGUUCACUGCUGUCGACGGGCUGCUGUGGUAUCAUAGGGUAUGGUCGUUUGGUGGUUUAGGGUGGCAGGUGGUGGAGCUGGUUCACGACUGCUGCUUGUAGUUCUUAGGGUUAUGUUUUUGUUUUGAAGAGUUUUCUGGUUUUGUCUUCUUCAAAAAUGAAGAAGAAGAUGAGCAGUACAGUAGCCGCAUGUGGAUAGUCUCCAAUUAAAGUCUUCAAAUAUGUCCAAAUCUUUAAGUGUGUCGGCUGAAGUGUUUUUAGGUCUCUUUUCUUCUUUUAUAUUUUGUUUAUCGUGUGUGCGUGUUUUACUUCUAAAUGGCCUAAUUUUGAAAUCUAGGGAGGAAUUGAGAU